UACGUAGGGGGCAAGCGUUGUCCGGAUUCAUUGGGCGUAAAGAGCGUGUAGGCGGCCAGGUAGGUCGGUUGUGAAAACUGGAGGCUCAACCUUCAGAGGUCGACCGAAACCAUCUGGCUAGAGUCCGGGAGAGGAGAGUGGAAUUCCGCGUGUAGCAGUGAAAUGCGUAGAUAUGCGGAGGAACACCGAUGGCGAAGGCAAUCCCCUGGGCCUGCACUGACGCUCAUGCACGAAAGCGUGGGGAGCAAACAGG
rnacentral:rRNA from 1 species